rnacentral:rRNA from 1 species
UACGUAGGGUGCAAGCGUUAAUCGGAAUUACUGGGCGUAAAGCGUGCGCAGGCGGUUUUGUAAGUCAGAUGUGAAAUCCCCGGGCUUAACCUGGGAACUGCGUUUGAAACUACAAGGCUAGAGUGUGGCAGAGGGGGGUGGAAUUCCACGUGUAGCAGUGAAAUGCGUAGAGAUGUGGAGGAACACCGAUGGCGAAGGCAGCCCCCUGGGACAACACUGACGCUGAAGCACGAAAGCGUGGGGAGCAAACAGG